GUCUUGAACAGCAUGUAGUCAGUCUCACUUUGCAGUGAGACAUCUGAAGACUAAGAUGCCCAAAGUUGUGGUGUUUUACACAGUAUCGCUCCCAAUGCAACUAGGAGGCGUUUCCUAAAGUGUCAGGGGAAGGUAGCUCUCCAAGGUUGUGCCCUGGUACCUGAGACAGUGACAGCGUGGAUUCCCUACCACUGGAGGUGUAAAGAAGCAUGGAUAGCUUCUAAUCAGGAACUGGAGAUGAUACUGCGUGAGCUUUAAAGUGUCAGCAUACUCUUCAUGACUCCUUUUCCUUCAGUCUGAUGUGACCAAUUUGGAGCAAUUACAAUUGCUUUGAAAUUCUAUAUGAGGC
rnacentral:lncRNA from 1 species